CCCCUCUCAGGGUUGCACCUGGAGAGUUUCCAGUACUACCAGCCUUGACUAUGGGAGGGAGAGUCAAGCAGAAGCAUAAUCAUUCCGUUCCUAGCUUGGGCAGUGGCUAGUGAGUGGAAGGCAAUCUGCUACAAGU